UGUGAAUCCAUCACAGUGAAGAAUAUCAGCGGUUGCAACCAGGACAGAUUAAGGAAAGCAGGUCGGUGUGCCCAGGAUUGUCUGGAGCAGGAGUGGAAUGACCAUUGGUGCAACAGUGGUCACCCCAGGGCCCUGAAGAAAACGUGUGCCGCACCCUUAUCAGCCAGAGCAGAGCUAAGGAACAAAAGAAGUAACCCUACAAAACUGGUGUCAGAAGUGGGAUGAAACAGGGAACUCU